rnacentral:rRNA from 1 species
GAUGAACGCUGGCGGCGUGCCUAAUACAUGCAAGUCGAGCGAACGGACGAGAAUCUUGCUUCUCUUAUGUUAGCGGCGGACGGGUGAGUAACACGUGGCUAACUUACCUAUAAGACUGGGAUCACUUCGGGAAACCUUAGCUAACAUCGGUUAAUAUUUUGAACCGCAUGGUUCUACAGUGAUAGCCGUUCUUGCUGUCACUUAUAGAUGUAUCCGCGCUGCAUUAGCUAGUUGGUAAGGUAACGGCUUACCAAGGCAACGAUGCAUAGCCGACCUGAGAGGGUGAACGGACACACUGAAAGUGAGACACGGUACAGACUCCUAGGAGAGGCAGCAGUAGAAAAUCUGCCGCAAGGGGCGAGAGCCAGACAGAGAAGCGCCGCGUGAGUGAUGAAGGUCUGGAGAGCGUAAAACUCUGUUAUGAGGGAAAAAGAUAUGUGUAAGUAACUGUGCACAUCGUGACGGUAACUAGUCAGAGAGCCACGGCUAACUACG